GAUGAACGCUGGCGGCGUGCCUAACACAUGCAAGUCGAGCGGAGAUAUAUGAACAGAUAGAGAUAUUUGGGAAUACAUCUUAGCGGCGGACGGGUGAGUAACACGUGAGGAACCUGCCUUACACUAAGGAAUAACAACGUGAAAACGUUGCUAAUACCGCAUAACACCGCACUAUGGCAUCAUAGAGCGGUCAAAGGAGAGAUCCGGUGUAAGAUGGCCUCGCGCCCGAUUAGUUAGUUGGUGGGGUAACGGCCCACCAAGACUACGAUCGGUAGCCGGACUGAGAGGUCGAACGGCCACAUUGGAACUGAGAGACGGUCCAGACUCCUACGGGAGGCAGCAGUGGGGAAUAUUGGGCAAUGGGGGAAACCCUGACCCAGCAACGCCGCGUGAAGGAAGAAGGCCUCGGUUGUAACUUCUUGUAUCAGGGAAGGAAACGAAAAUAGACGGUACCGUGAAAACAAAGACCAACGGCGUAACUAACGUGCCAGCAGCCGCGGUAAACGGUAAGCGUG
rnacentral:rRNA from 1 species